UUCUGCCUACGGGGGGCAGCAGCGAGGAAUAUUGGUCAAUGGACGCAAGUCUGAACCAGCCAAGUAGCGUGCAGGAUGACGGCCCUCCGGGUUGUAAACUGUUUUUAGUUGGGAAUAAAAGGGGGCUCGUGAGCCCCGUAUUGUAUGUACCAUCAGAAAAGGACCGGCUAAUUCCGUGCCAGCAGCCGCGGGAAUACGGAAGGUCCGGGCGUUAUCCGGAUUUAUUGGGUUUAAAGGGAGCGGAGGCCGGCUUUUAAGUCAGCUGUGAAAGGCCGCGGCUCAACCGUGGAAUUGCAGUUGAAACG
rnacentral:rRNA from 1 species